rnacentral:tRNA from 2 species
UCUAAUAUGGCAGAUUAGUGCAAUGGACUUAAGCCCCAUAUAUAAAGUUUAUUACUUUUGUUAGAA